UACGUAGGGGGCGAGCGUUGCUCGGAUUGACUGGGCGUAAAGCGCGCGUAGGCGGUCCAUUAAGUGUGUGGUGAAAUGCAGAGGCUCAACCUCUGUCCCGCCGCGCAAACUGGUGGUCUUGAGAUUGGGAGGGGGAUGCGGAAUUCCUGGUGUAGCGGUGAAAUGCAUUGAUAUCAGGAGGAACACCGGCGGCGAAGGCGGCAUCCUGGCUUAUAUCUGACGCUGAGGCGCGAAAGCGUGGGUAGCAAACGGG
rnacentral:rRNA from 1 species